GUAGUUGGUGGGGUAACAGCCUACCAAGCCGAUGACGGGUAGGGGGCGUGAGAGCGCGACCCCCCACACGGGAACUGAGACACGGUCCCGACGCCUACGGGCGGCAGCAGUGAGGAAUCUUGCGCAAUGGGGGAAACCCUGACGCAGCGACGCCGCGUGCGGGAAGAAGGCCUUCGGGUCGUAAACCGCUUUUCUGUGGGACGAGGAAGGACGGUACCACAGGAAUAAGUCCCGGCUAACUACGUGCCAGCAGCCGCGGUAAAACGUAGGGGGCGAGCGUUAUCCGGAAUCACUGGGCGUAAAGGGCGUCUAGGCGGCACGUCAAGUCUUGCGUGAAAUCUCCUGGCUCAACUAGGAGAGUGCGUGGGAAACUAGCGAGCUAGAGACGUGGAGGGGUGCACGGAAUUCCCGGUGGAGUGGUGGAAUGCGUUGAGAUCGGGAGGAACACCAGAAGCGAAGGCGGUGCACUGGCCACGGACUGACGCUGAAGCGCGACAGCGUGGGGAGCGAACGGGAUUAGAUACCCCGGUAGUCCACGCCGUAAACGAUGACGACUAGGUGUGUGUAACCGAAGGGUUAUGCGUACCGCAGCAAACGCGAUAAGUCGUCCGCCUGGGGAGUACGGCCGCAAGGCUAAAACUCAAAGGAAUUGACG
rnacentral:rRNA from 1 species